rnacentral:rRNA from 1 species
GUGGGGAAUUUUGGACAAUGGGCGCAAGCCUGAUCCAGCAAUGCCGCGUGCAGGAAGAAGGCCUUCGGGUUGUAAACUGCUUUUGUACGGAACGAAACGGUCCGGGUUAAUACCCUGGGCUAAUGACGGUACCGUAAGAAUAAGCACCGGCUAACUACGUGCCAGCAGCCGCGGUAAUACGUAGGGUGCAAGCGUUAAUCGGAAUUACUGGGCGUAAAGCGUGCGCAGGCGGUUUUGUAAGACAGGCGUGAAAUGCCCGGGCUCAACCUGGGAAUUGCGCUUGUGACUGCAAGGCUGGAGUGCGGCAGAGGGGGAUGGAAUUCCGCGUGUAGCAGUGAACUGCGUAGAUAUGCGGAGGAACACCGAUGGCGAAGGCAAUCCCCUGGACCUGUACUGACGCUCAUGCACGAAAGCGUGGGGAGCAAACAGGAUUAGAUACCCUUGUAGUCC